UCUGUAAUUCCCACUGAGGUCGAACUUCCAGUAACUCCAGAAAAGGACUGCAGGAUGACCUUCCUUUCCUGUCCAGCCAAAUGCCUUAGCUAUAAUUAUUCGAGUUUAAACCAAAAUUUCAGCUAUAACUGAAAUGCUUGCAGAAUACACGAACAACAGCGCCCUCUGCACCUGAAACCCCUCCGGUUAUUAAACCCAGACGUUCCUACGUGCUGGAGGAGCCUUUAAUUUCAAUUACUGCUUUUUUCAGCGGCUGCCUCCUUCAUGUCACGGCGUGGGACAGCCUUCCCAGCAGAAGCACACUGAAGGGGAGAGAGGAGUGUGCUGGGAAGAUGAGUUACUGCUGAUCGACUCACUGACAUAAACAGAUGGGAAGGACGGAUUUCUCCUCUGCUGAUGAGAACAUUCUCCCACAUGGAUGUGGAAGAACUGUCUGCAAAGAGUGGCAGCAGGGAGAGUUCUGCUAUUACAAUAGCAUCUGAGUGAUGAGAAAGUUGCAUAGUGCUCCGGGCAUUCAAGUGUCCCCACACCCUUGUUAAAGGCCACAGUCAGCAAUCUUUACUGCACUGAAACAAUUAAUAUAAAAAAGCUUAUGGUUAGUGGAAAACUCGAGCUGUAAUUAGCACAGUCUAUUCACCUUGGGGUGAAGCAGUAUUAGUUUUCCCAAGUCACAUUUUAUGGUUUGUACACUGCCGAUGAGCCAGUAAAUAUAGCUGAAAUGACUAAUUCACUAUCUACGGUUCACUGGUGGGGAUUUUUUGUUCAAAGUAAAUAACCUGAAAUAGUUCUGAGUUAAGGUGCAUCCACCUACUGUAACAAGCACUGAGCUGAAUCUGGCUAGAGAUAUAGAGAGGCCUAUUCAUCCAUCUGUCUACAAAACCUUUGAAGAGCCUUUUGAAAGAAUGUCUGACAGUUAUUUUCCUGCUUCCCUGCUUUAUGGUAGACUCUACUCUCUUUUAGGGGUGCAGGAUAAGACAAGCUUUACUGUCUUAUUUCUGUCUUGUGAAUCAGAUCUCUCUACAAGUAAUUUAGGUUUUGGGGGAAAAAAGUUCUCUCUUCCUUUACUUUUUCUUCAAGAAAAUUUUCUAUGAGAAAAUGCUGUGAACUGCUAAAAUUUAGUGCCUAAAAAUAUUUGCAGGGAGGAGAAUAUGAUUUCCAUCUUUCUGAUUCCAGGACUCGCAUUCCUCUGCCCCUAUUCAGUCUUAAACAUUUUGAAUCUACAUAUUUAAUCUUCAGAGCUGGUGAUAUAGAUGACCCGAGCUUAAAUUAAAAGUCAGAUUGCUUCUGAAUUCUGCCGAAUUUAAAGCACCUCAGCCAUUGCAGUUGGUGUGACCUUGACUCUGGUGUUUGGAGCUGACCUUUCCACAUGGUUGAAACCACAGUUGCUGGAUGCAUCUAAAGUGUAGACUUAUAUCAAAAUGAUGUGAUUCAAUCUAAUCACUUCUUGAGAAAAAAAUUAAAGCAGAAUUGACAGGAACCUGAAAUAAUAGAUGCAUUAUUUAUUAUAUUUAUUGCUAUAUAUAUUUAAUUUAGUCUCUAUAAAUGAAUAUUUUUACUGCAAAAUGAAAGUAUCUGCAGUGCAAAGGUAGCAGAUGAUCAUUGUGAUUAGAGAAACUCAUUCAGGUGAUGAAUGAUAUGUUUGCAAAGAUGAAACUUUACUGGAAGAUUUUAACUGUUUUCUAUACAUGUUUGGAAACUGAUAAAAUGACAACACUGAGGUGACAGGAUAGAAAAAGUGUAUGAAGAGAAUGGGACAACUUUUGCUCUCAGUAACUUUAUGCAAAUGUAAUUGCAGUGCAAACCAAGAACUUCCUUUAGAUUUGUGUCACUCCUUCCUCUUUAAAUCAGAACUACUUUUGAGGAAGGUGCAAUAGUUCUAGGCCAUCAUUUGCUCAGGAAAGAAUAUUUUGAAAGACAAAAACCUUGCUGUACCAUUUUCCUGCACACUUUUAAAACAAUGUAUCCUUCUUUAGACUGUACAAAUUAAUGAGUGAACACACAACUGUGAAAAAACCUUUAACAGCCCAGUACCAAAACCAGCCACCCCUUUCAAUUAAAAAAAUCUGCAUAAUAAGAUCAAAUAAAAAUGGUGCUUGAACUAUCACAG